rnacentral:rRNA from 1 species
AGUAACUACUCGAAAGAGUAGCUAAUACCGCAUACGAUCUGAGGAUGAAAGCGGGGGACCUUCGGGCCUCGCGCGAUUGGAGCGGCCGAUGGCAGAUUAGGUAGUUGGUGGGNUAAAAGCUUACCAAGCCGACGAUCUGUAGCUGGUCUGAGAGGACGACCAGCCACACUGGGACUGAGACACGGCCCAGACUCCUACGGGAGGCAGCAGAG